rnacentral:lncRNA from 1 species
AAAAGAUCAAAGCACAACAUAACUAAUAGUUUCCUUAAGGUGGAGUUUAAUGUGAAGGGUUUGCCUUAUAUUUUGCCUUUUAUUUGCAGAGCUAGAUCCUGUUUCUUUUGUCCUGGUCUCAUAUCCAUUGUUAAAUCUUUGCUAAAUGUGUUGGGGUAGAGGAAGAGGGAAGUGGGUGUAUAGACCACUGCUAUGGUCCCUGCUAGACUUCAGACUUUAUGAUGACAUUUAUUUUGAGUAGGCUAUGAUCUUGUCUGAAUUGACAGUCCUCACACUUCCACCUCCCUGCUAAAACUCACCAGCUAGUCAUCAGCUGGGGGACCAUUUAUAUUCUCAAGAGAUUUCAUUUGAUUUUAUGCAUUCUGGUACUCAUUGAUUUCUGUGACUUAUAGAAGAACUAAAAGCACUGAAAACAACAACAGUACAGAAUACUCUGUAUACCGUUUCCAGGACUGCAAUUGCAACUCUCAAAUUCCUGUUGUUGACUUGUGUUUGAGGUCACAUUGGGAAAAAGAAAAUGAAGAAAAGCAUGGUUUUGACCACUAGAAUUAGAGGCAAGGAACAUUUACUGAUGGUUAUGCCAUAUAGUUAAUGGUUGUGGGAGAGCCAGUGACCUGUGACUGUUCCUCAGUCCCUCCCAUUCAUAGCACUUAGUCCUUUCCGCCAAGGCUUUGUGAUCUGGCUGAGUGAUAUCAAACACUGCUUAGUUCAACAUGAAUGAGCUGAAAUGAAUA